ACACCAGACUCCUACGGGAGGCAGCAGUGAGGAAUAUUGGUCAAUGGCCGAGAGGCUGAACCAGCCAAGUCGCGUGAGGGAAGACGGCCCUACGGGUUGUAAACCUCUUUUGUCGGGGAGCAAAGCGAACCACGUGUGGUUCAUUGAGAGUACCCGAAGAAAAAGCAUCGGCUAACUCCGUGCCAGCAGCCGCGGUAAUACGGAGGAUGCGAGCGUUAUCCGGAUUUAUUGGGUUUAAAGGGUGCGCAGGCGGAGGUGCAAGUCAGCGGUCAAAUUGCGGGGCUCAACCCCGUACUGCCGUUGAAACUGGUUUUCUAGAGUUGGAGAGAAGUAUGCGGAAUUCGUGGUGUAGCGGUGAAAUGCAUAGAUAUCACGAAGAACUCCGAUUGCGAAGGCAGCAUACCGGCUCCAUACUGACGCUGAGGCACGAAAGCGUGGGGAUCGAACAGGAUUAGAUACCCUUGUA
rnacentral:rRNA from 1 species